rnacentral:rRNA from 1 species
GUAACGCGUGAGAAUCUACCUUUCAGUGAGGAAUACCUUCGAGAAAUUGAAGUUAAUACUGCAUACGUCCUACGGGAGAAAGAUGGCCUCUUUGCUGUCGCUGAAAGAUGAGCUUGCGUACGAUUAGCUAGUUGGUAGGGUAACGGCUACCAGCAACGAUCCGUAACCGGCCUGAGAGGGCGGUCGGCCACACUGACACUGAAAUACGGGUCAGACUCCUACGGGAGGCAGCAGUCGGGAAUUUUGGGCAAUGGGCGC